GACAGAGGAGGCAAGCGUUGUCCGGCCUUACUGGGCGUAAAGGGCGCGGAGGCGGCCGGCGGCGUCGGCGCUCAAAGCGCCCCGCUUAACGGGGCGAGGGGUGCCGAUACGGGCAGACUUGAGGCGAGCAGAGGGUGGUGGAAUUCCGGGUGGAGCGGUGAAAUGCGUAGAGAUCCGGAGGAACGCCGGUGGGGAAGCCGGCCACCUGGGCUCGUCCUGACGCUGCGGCGCGACCGCGUGGGGAGCAAACCGG
rnacentral:rRNA from 1 species